GUUCUGUGGUUGGUGAUCCCUCCCUUGUGGAGUCUUCCUCUGAGUGUAGAUCUUCAGAGACAGCUCCCUCUGUUGGCCCUGCAGAGUACCCAAGUUUGUCUCCCAGCUUGGUAAAGGAGGGACCUUUGAUGCCAGGGGCCCCUCAAGAGAGAAAAGGCAUAUAAAAAGGAAGCUGAAAUUCCUCAAGGAUAACGUUCUACAUGCUAGCAGGGAGGCAUCCCUACCAUGAGAACAUUCCGAAAAUAACUCACAGAAAUGCAUUUCUACCAGGGCUGAUGUGAAUCAGCAUUCAUUUUUGGAUCUUUGCUAUUGAUGGACGGUAUUUAAGUUAGGCAUCACUAUAAAUCAAGAUGUCUUGUCCCAGUGUCCUCUUCUACUCUUCGUGUGUUACAACUUACCUGAAUGAUUGGAUGCCAUAUUGAACUGUGAUAUUACCCUACAGUCUACGUCUGACUUUCAGAGGAUCUUGGAUGGUACAACUACAUCACUUUAAUCCACAGUUCCAAAUCCAGUCUCUGAGUUAUGAUUAUGAGGCUCUCAGCUCUAGGUUCAGCUCUAACUAAAAUUUUCAAGAAAUCACAGGACUAUUGUGUUGAAAAGCCCUCUCAGAAAUUAAAGGAAAACAUACAGCUGUUGAGCUGAUGCCCUGGAAAUGCACCACGUAGCCCUCCCUGCAAGAAAUGUUAGCUCAAACUCACAAGCGUACUCCAAUUACUCUUUGUUUGCUGGUGACCUCUGUCUUUUGAGCUUAACCCGCAGUUGCAAAAGCCCAAAGGAGUUGUGUAUGGAGUCUAAAUGCUAGCAUACCUCUCCAUCCUAUCUCAACUAGAACAGUGUUCACCUUUACUACGUUAUGAAGGUGAAAACUAAGGGCUUUUGGAAAAACAAAAGUAUUCAAGUAGGAUUUUGAAUGUGAACAGAAAGAGCUACUGGGAAAGAUUUCAUAGGUGCCAUGUGUAUGAAUGAGAACAAGAGCAUCAGUUAACAAGAAGAACAUGCAAAGUGAGAGAUGUCAUCAGGCACCAAAUCAGUUAAUUAAGUCCGGAAAUGAAGCUUAGAUAUUUCUUCUGUGGAUUGCCUGUAUUCCUUUAUUCAUUGUUUUGAGCAGACUACAAGAUCUUCAUUCUACUUUGGAAUUCUGUGGGGACAGUUCUUAUGGAUUUUGACAGUAAGCAGCACAGCACUGUGGGGCAUUUGAGGUGAAGUCAUUCUUAUUGAAAGAGCCAGCAUAAUUUCUCUGCACCAUUUAAAUCCAAACAAAUCCUAUUUUAAGCACUUUGGAAUGACUUGAGUAAUGCA